UUCUGGUUGAUCCCGCCGGAGGCUACCGCUAUUGGAGUUCGAUUAAGCCAUGCGAGUCGCGAGUCCUAGGGACUCGGCGUACCGCUCAGUAACACGUGGGUAACCUGCCCUAUGCAGGGGGAUAACCUCGGGAAACUGAGAAUAAUACCCCAUAGUUCACUACGCCUGGAACGGUGAGUGGAUGAAAGCUCCGGCGGCAUAGGAUGGGCCUGCGGCGUAUCAGGUUGUAGGGGGUGUAACGUACCCUCUAGCCCUCUACGCGUACGGGUGUUGGGAGACAUAGCCCGGAGAUGGAUUCUGAGACACGAAUCCAGACCCUACGGGGUGCAGCAGGCGCGAAAACUUGACAAUGCGAGAAAUCGUGAUCAGGGAACUCCAAGCGGCUGGGGUAAGACCCAGUCUUUUCUUGACUCUACAAAGGUCUUGGAAUAAGGGGUAGGUAAGGACGGUGCCAGCCGCCGCGGUAAUACCGGCGCCUCAAGUGGUAGUCGCUUUUAUUGGGCCUAAAACGUCCGUAGCCGGUCUGAUACAUUCGUGGGUAAAUCAACUAGCUCAACUAGUUGAAUUCUGCGAGGACGGUCAGACUUGGGACCGGGAGAGGUGUGGGGUACGCUCAGGGUAGGGGUAAAAUCCUGUCAUCCUAAGCGGACCACCUGUUGCGAAGGCGCCACACUAGAACGGAUCCGACGGUCAGGGACGAAGCCUAGGGGCACGAACCGGAUUAGAUACCCGGGUAGUCCUAGGUGUAAACGCUGUGGACUUGAUGUUGGGGGCGCUCCGAGCGCUUCCAGUGUCGAAGCGAAGGUGAUAAGUCCACUGCCUGGGAAGUACGGUCGCAAGGCUGAAACUUAAAGGAAUUGGCGGGGGAGCACCGCAACCUGAGGAUUGUGCGGUUUAAUUGGAUUCAACGCCGGGG
rnacentral:rRNA from 1 species